AACGAACGCUGGCGGCAUGCCUAACACAUGCAAGUCGAACGAUUGCCUUCGGGUGAUAGUGGCGCACGGGUGCGUAACGCGUGGGAAUCUGCCCUUAGGUUCGGAAUAACAGCUGGAAACGGCUGCUAAUACCGGAUGAUAUCGCGAGAUCAAAGAUUUAUCGCCUGAGGAUGAGCCCGCGUUGGAUUAGGUAGUUGGUGGGGUAAAGGCCUACCAAGCCGACGAUCCAUAGCUGGUCUGAGAGGAUGAUCAGCCACACUGGGACUGAGACACGGCCCAGACUCCUACGGGAGGCAGCAGUGGGGAAUAUUGGUCAAUGGGCGCAAGCCUGAUCCAGCAAUGCCGUGUGAGUGAUGAAGGCCCUAGGGUUGUAAAGCUCUUUUACCCGGGAAGAUAAUGACUGUACCGGGAGAAUAAGCCCCGGCUAACUCCGUG
rnacentral:rRNA from 1 species